ensembl:lncRNA
CACAAUAAGCCCCGUAGCUCAGCUCACUAGUGUGAAACAGCAUCUGCAGACUCCAGAGUACCUGUCCGGACCCAUGGAGCACUGUCUUCAGACACCUGUCUGUGUGCUAUGUGCUGUCCAGACCCAGGACUGGCCACAGGAGCAGAUGUCUGCUGCCAAUGGCUGAUUUCCUCCUGGGCCUCACAGGGAGGGCUAGACAGGCAGAAGAAAAAUAAUUUUCUGAAUCCACCCAGGAAUCAGCUCAUUCAGACCAGAUCAGUUAUUAACAGCAAUAAUACAGAAACACUUAUACAUCAAUUUGGCUUUAAUUGUACAGAAAGAGCUGGGCAUAGUGGCUCAUACCUGUAAUCCCAGCAUUUUGGGAUUGCUUGAGGCCAGGAGUGGGAGACCAGCCUGGGCAAUAUAUCAAGAGUCCGUCUCUACAAAAAAAAAGAAAAAUGCACAAAUGGAAUUUUAAUUUUUAAAGAUGUCUAGUUUUGUAUCAUAUAGACCAGGAAGAUAACCUAGACAGAUAAUUUCUACACAUAAAAAUAUUUCCUUCAGUCAAUGUAAUAAUCAUAAAGUGGUUUUCAUGACAUCCACUUUCAGAUCUUGAUAUUGGGCCCAAUUCACAAUUUGAGUACAGUUUUCCUAUUUUUAUUGCCAAUGCAUUGAGUACAGCUAUUUCCCACUAUUUCAAUCAGAGGGAGAAAUUUCCUCUAGUAUUAUUUAUUUUCACUCUUUAAUUUUAAUUCAUGUGCCUCUGGAGAAUGUAUCUUUUGUAUGAUUCUGUUUCCAAAACCCUAAGGAAAACAGAAGACAAGAUGCCAUUGCUUUAGGGCCUUUAAAAGGUUAUUCAGAGGGGUCUCUCCUGAACUUUUUUUUUUGUAAGUCAUAUUUCAAGUCUUUGAUCUUGACAACCCUGAAAUAUUACCUUACAAUUACAUCAUAACUAUGAAAUGACUUUUGUUGGCUAGUGACAGGACUUUUUAGAAAGUUUCCACUAAAUACACAAAUAUUACAGUGAAAGGAUGUCAGAGUAUUCGAAAUGAUUAGUGAUGGUAUUAAAAUUGCCAGUAUUGCUAUAUAUUGUGCCCCUAGGAAAUUCAGAAUAUUUAUGAUCAGGCCUUCAAGUAGUCUAGACUUUUUUUUCUCUCCUUUUAAAAGUGAUUUUUAGCCUUUUCUACAUGCUUUGCCAUUACUUAAAGACUUUAACGCCAUUGUUAUUUUUUCAGCAGGGAAAAAUAGCUAACAUUCACACAAAAGUCAAUAGAGCAACUGAACGAAAUAAAAUCAUCUCAAACAUUUAUUAAUUCAAUAAAUGUUUACUGUAGAGUCAUAACAUACAUGAUACAAAUUCAACUGUGUGCCCUUGGCCCUUCUCGCUCCCCACCAAAAAGAAAGAGAAAGAAAAAAAUAACUCUUUCAAUAGUGGCUGUUCCAAUCACCCAUCCACUCGGUGACUGAGGUCCCAGAGCUGGCAAGAGGAGGGUCAUGGACCCACUGUCAGCUUGGCUAGUUUUACUUUCUUCGUACCUCUCAGAGGUGAGGCUGAAUGAGAUGCUAGAGUCUGAAAAAUAAGUGUUUAGGGUACAUCUGGGCCUGUAAAUAAGUGCCGACAGAUUCAUCUGGUUCCCAACUAAAACCAAAUAGCAAUCUGAUCCAUUGUUGGAGAAAAACCUAGCUGUGUUGAACUUGGUGAAGGAUGUUACUAUACUUUAUAAGCCAUUGAAGGGGCUGGGCACAGUGACUCAUGCCUGUAAUCCCAGCAUUUUGGGAGGCUGAGGCAGACGGAUCACCUGAGGUCAGGAGUUCAAGACCAGCCUGGCCAACAUGGUGAAACUCCAUCUCUACUAAAAAAAAAAUACAAAAAUCAGCCGGAUGUGGUGGUGGGCACCUAUAAUUCCAGCUACUCGGAAGGCUGAGGCAUGAGAAUCACUUGAACAUGGGAGGCAAAGGUUGUUGCAGUGAGCCGAGAUCGUGCCACUACUCUCCAAACUGGGUGAGAGUGAAACUCCGUCUCAAAAAAAAAAAAAAAAAAAAAAAAAAAAGCCACUGAAGGGAUUUUCCAAGGUUAAUCUUGAAAGUUUUAUUUGUGCUACCACUCAUGGUAGAUGCUCAUUGCAAUGUAUCCAGUAAAGUACAUCUGCUAUAUGCAGGCUCUGUGCUGUAUACGGGGGAAAUUUUGAAGAUCUGAAAACAAGAUUAUCCACACAAACAUACAUAAACAUACACAUACCUGACUUGAGUAUGAGCCACAUUUUUGUAGAGUGGGCCACUCUUGACGUGUCCUUUUCUCUUUUUUGUUUCGAGACAGUCUCGUACUGUUGCCCAGGCUGGAGUGCAGUGGCCAGAUCUUGGCUCACUGCAACCUCCACCGCCUGGGUUCAAGCGAUUCUCCUGCCUCAGCCUUCCGAGUAGCUGGGACUAUAGGCAUGUGCCACCAUGCCCAGCUAAUUGACAUAUCCUUUUCUAGCCUAAUAGUUUAACUCAUAUUUACUUAUUAGGAACUGUGAGUAUGCCAAAUGAUAUAAAUUUAAAGGGUGAGAUGAGAUAAAUUUUUAUUUAGAUUUCUCUUUUUAGAAGUAAUUAUCGAUACAGUUGGAAAUUUUGUUGUUUUGUUGAUGGUAAUGAUGGCUUUUUAGAACAAGCUAGUGAUUUAAAAAUAAGUGUAGGCUGGGCGCGGUGGCUCACGCCUGUAAUCCCAGCACUUUGGGAGGCCAAGGCAGGUGAAUUGCCUGAGGUUGGGAGUUCGAGACCAGCCUGACCAACAUGGAGAAACCCCAUCUCUACUAAAAAAAAAAAAAAAAAAAAAAACACACACACACAAAAAUUAGCCGGGCGUGGUGGCACAUGCCUGUAAUCCCAACUAGUCGGGAGGCUAAGGCAGGAGAAUCGCUUGAACCCGGGAGGCAGAGGUUGCAGUGAGCCAAAAUUGCACCAUUGCAACCCAACAACAAGAGCAAAACUCCAUCUCGAAAAAAAUGGAAAAACAAAAAACAAGUGUAGCUGAGCGUGUUGUGGCGCCCAUGGGUAAUCCCAGCACUUUGGGAGGCCAAGGCAGGUAGAUUGCAUAAGCUCAGAAAUUCGAGACCAGCUUGGGCAACAUGGUGAAACCCAGUCUCUACAAAAAAAAUGCAAAAAUUAGCUGGGCGUGGUGGCACACAUCUAUAAUCUCAGCUACUCAGGAGGCUGAGGUGGGUGGAUCACUUGAGCCUCGGGGGUCAAGGCUGCAGUGAGUCAAGAUCGCGCCACUGCACUCUAGCCUGGGUGACAGAGUGAGACCCUGUCUUAAAAACUAAAAAAAUAGAGGCCGGUGCGGUGGCUCACGCCUGAAAUCCCAGCACUUUGGGAGGCCAAGGCGGGUGGAUCAGAGGUCAGGAGUUUGAGACCAACGUGACCAACAUGAUAAAACCCUGUCUCUACUAAAAAUAUAAAAAUUAGCCAGGCAUGGUGGCGUGUGCCUGUAAUCCUAGCUACUCAGGAGGCUGAGGCAGGAGAAUAGCUUGAACCCGGGAGGUGGAGGUUGCAGUGAGCUGAGACUGGGCCACUGCACUCCAGCCUGGGCGACAGAGUGAGACUUUGUCUCAAAAAAAAAAAAAAAAACUAAAAAAAUAGGCCUUGGGCAGUGAGUGGCUCACACCUGUAAUCUCAGCACUUUGGGAGGUUGAGACAGGUGGAUCACUUGAGGUCAGGAGUUCAAAACCAGCCUGACCAACAUGGUGAAACCCCAUCUCUACUAAAAAAAUACAAAAUUAGCUGGGUGUGGUGGCACACGCCUGUAAUCCAAGCUACUUGGGAGGCUGAGGCAUGAGAAUCAUUUGAACCCAGAAGGUGGGGAGGUUGCAGUGAGCCGAGAUUGCGCCAUUGCGCUCCAGCCUGGGCGAAAAGAGUGAAACUCCAUCUCAAAACAGAAAAUAAAUAAAUAAAUAAUAUAAAUGAAAACAAGUGUAAACACAGAGAGCUUAUUUGCUGAUCACUGUGCCACGUUAGCCAGUGGAAGGCUCUUAUCUGUAACACGUAUACAUGUUUAGUCAUGAGCCAUAACAUCAAACAUUAACUGAUACAUACGUACUGGAUUCUGUGAAUUGCUUCCCUGGCCCCAAACAGCC